GAUGAUGACACAUUUUCAGCUGGACCUUCAUCAUUUACCUGAGCAGAACAAAUUGGGCAUUAAGCAGCACCGGUUACUUCCCUGAUGAUGACCGCCCUUAUGACACCUUUAUAUGGACUAAUGAAACUAGACUCUCUAUGGCCAAUCCUCAACUGUACAUGAACGCACGCCUUUCUCCCAUCUCUCUAACUUAUUUUGGGUUUUGUCUGGGAAAUGGAAACUACACCGUAAACCUCCAUUUUGCAGAGAUAAUGUUUAGAAAUGGCAAAACAUAUAAAAGCUUGGGAAGGCGCAUAUUCGAUAUUUACAUUCAGGUAAGUAUCGCAUCCACUUCCAUGUAUACCAGUGAAUUAUUCUAAUUUUCAACAAGCAUUGUUUAUAUUUUGGUCGAUUUGAAUGUUAACUUUCACAUUUAUGAUCAUGAAAUGUUAAGCAACUAAAUUAGUGUGUGUGUGUGUGUGUGUGUGUGUAUUGCAGGGAAAACUAGUGAAGAAGGACUUCAAUAUCAUGGAUGAAGCUGGCGUGUUUGGUGAUGUAGUCAUAAAGAACUUUACUGCUCCUGUAACUAAUAAUACAUUGGAGAUUCGUUUCUAUUGGGCCGGAAGAGGGACGACAGGCAUCCCUUUUAGAGGAGUCUAUGGUCCUCUUAUUUCAGCUAUUUCAGUAGACCCAAGUAAGUUUUCACUGAUCUGAGCUUCGUCUAAUUACUAUGCGUCGACCAUAUGCAUUUAUAUAUCUACUAAAUUAAGAGAUCCGACUUCAGUUCUGCAAGGUUCUUCUUCUUCUUCAAUAUUUCCCUUCGCUUGUAUUUUCAGAAAAAUGCUUCUGUGUUUUUCUCCUGUUUUACAUAGUUUGAGCCAAGACUUGAAGAAAUACUCUCUUAAAUUUUCUUAUCACAUAAUAUGCUGUUUUUUUCUAGGUGACGGGUAUGCUCUUUCAAAUACAACAAAAUUCAACUUCGAGGAUUUUUAACUAUUUACAUGAAAUGUACCGUUUGGUACGUGGGACGGGACGGGAUGGAACGGGACGAGCCGUUCCGUCCCACGUUUGGUGCGCCUAAAAACUGUGGAACGGGUUGUCCCAUGGGACGAAAUUUGGCUGAUUUUUCGUUCCACCUCUUCCCCCUGGAACGACCCGUUCCACAUCCGUGUAACACAAAUUUAUAACAUUUUAUGACACAAUUUCUCCUUAUCUUUUUUAAUAUUUACAUCAUCUGUUCCGUCCUGUUCUGUCCCGUCCCGUCCUGUUCCAUCCCGUCCCGUCCCGUUCCAUCCCGUCUACGUACCAAACGGUACCUUAAGGAAACAUAUAAUAUUUACAACCAUCAAAAGAAAGUUUGUUCGAGGGAUUACUUCAUAUACUAUCUACUUAGUUAAGGAUGCCGCAAAGACAGGGUUUCAAUCUUCUGUUUGUGUGCAUUGGAUAGCUAGUUGAAUAAUCCACUCUCAUAUCAAUUACAUACAUUUACUCUAAUUUAAGCUAUAUUCUUUCUUCGGACAGACUUUGAUUCGCCGCCAAAACCUGUAAGUGACACAUCAACUGGUGGAAGUGGCGUGCCUGUAGGUGUCGUGGUUGGAAUUGUGGUUGGAGGAGUCUUCAUUAUACUACUGAUAUUUGGUAUUCUUUGGAAGAGAGACAACAAAAGACAUUGGAGGAUGGUAUUAAUUUGCAGUUUAUUAUGUUAUACUGGUUUUUCCUUUUUGUUCCUCCAUUACUUUCUCUCAUCGAGCUUUUUUCGUAACUAAGUACGAUAUUUAUGCUAUUUGCAUGGUUCUCAUGCAUAUUGACAUGCACCACAAAGACAGUAAUUAUUUAGAUAUGGAGCUUUCCGGCACUUUGAUGUUUCUGUAAUAUAUUUAUCGUCCAAACACCAUGAUGCAAAGUGUCUGCCUAUAGAUCUAGUUACUUGUUAAAUUCUAUAAUUAGGCACAAAAUAUUAAGAACUAAGAAUGUUAUCGUUCUGAAAGUUUUCUUAAGACACAAUUUCUUAUGAGUUUUAGUUGUUAUACAGAUUUGAAGGGUGUGGACCUGCAAACUGGUAAAUUUACCUUCAAGCAACUCAAAGAUGCCACUAUUGGCAUGUAACCCUUCAGCCGAAGACUUGGAGGCAAAGAAAGAAUUCAAACCUUAUUUUAAUGUUUGUUUCAUGUUUAAAUUUGAGCCAUUGAAUCAUAGUCCAUGUGGCUAGCCUUACUUGUAUCUAGCUUAAGUGAUAGAUUAUAACAAGUGGCAUCAUCUCAUAGGAUGAUAGCAAUUAAGGAAUGAGAUUAAGUGUGUUAUUGAUGAGUGUAUAAAGCCAAAAACCUUAUAUGUUUGUUGUGAGGGAAUAUUUUUCAAUCAAUCAGUGUAAUCAUCCUCCUAAAAAUUCUCUCUGCCAUUUUCGGCAUUACACAGACCUCUGCAAGAUUUCAUAGAAGCUUACCAAACAUUCCCAUACACUAACAGCCACAAGCAACUUUAACAAAGCUAUCAAGUCGUUGCAUCCGACUAUCCUUGCAUUCUCUGCUUUGAACAUUUUCACAUAAUCGCGAAACAACUCCUUUGGGUUCUUCUUGACGUUGAACAAAUGGUCGGACUUCUUUUUUAUCAAGCGAUAGGAUGAAUAUUCUUUGGUGAAAACCAAAAAAGUUCGUCAAAACUCCGGAUGGAUUGUGGUGGCAGGGUGUAGAACCAAUUUUGCGUCUCGCCUUGUAGAGUGAUGAUGAAUAUCUUGCACAUGAGAUCGUCGUUGUUUCGAUAGAGGAUCAUUGCGCUUCGGUAGUGCUUUAAGUGUCUCUCCGGGUCUUCAUCCCCUUUGAAAGAUGUGAAAUGUGGCAUGCUGAACUCGUGUGGAGGCUCUGCCUGCUCGAUCUCAUCCGUGAAGGGUGAUCUGCUUAUGUUGGUCAUGUUCCGUCGUAGUACCUCGUAGGUGACCUUGUUGCGUUGGAAAUUGCACAAUCACUUAGUCAAGAGUCUCUCUACUUCUUCCUGAAUUUGCCUUUGUUAGGGUAGUCGAACUCUCGGCUGCCCCUAGCUGUGACUUGCUGGUCUAAGCUGCUCUUCUAUGUGUUUGGCUCGUCUAUUCCGCGGAUGAGGUGUGUGUGGUGUGUUCCUAGCAAGCGAGCGAGUUCUUCUCAGGCUGUCGGUUGAACUUGAGCCGGAUUGAGUGACAAAGUCAAUGAAAGAAUGAUUCACAGUGUGCUUGCAUACUUCUUAUACACGAACAACUUUGUAUCGGCCUAGUUAUUAGUUACAAAGUCAAUGAAAGAAUGAUUCACAGUGUGCUUGUAACAAAUACACAUUUACCGUUUGUGUAAUUCCUCAUGUUUUAUUCUUUCUAAAGAACAUUGGACAUUUUCCUUCGGUUUUAGAGUAAGAAAACCAGUUCCUUCUUCCUAUUUAAUUCCCUGACCAAAAGUAAGUAUUUUCUGUGAUAAAUUAAUGUUUUACCUGUUUGGUCUCAUUUCUGUUGCAGCUUUUCCUUUUAGUCACAGUAUAGAUGCGUAAUGGAUAUCUGUUAAUUUCCAUAUAUGUUAUUAUUUAUUUUUACUUGUAAUGAAUAUCUAUUGUCACAACCCGUCCCGAAAUAUUUAUUUUCGACGGUGUGAAAUGACAGUUUUACCCUUGGACGUUGAGAUGUGUGGUGUGUGUCAUGCUUUUGGAUGUGGACCAAUAUGUUGAGUUCCUAAGUUUUUGGACUCAAUUAGAAGUUAGACUUUUGUUAGUUUGGUUAGGGACCAAGUGAGGACCACACACACACACAAAACACCCCGUGCAUUCUCUCUCGUCUCGGCCUUCCUAUCAUUUCCGUACAAAACGUACAGACGAACACCAAACUCACACUUCACGCACGGAUCGACGUUAACCAGGUAAUAUUCGAAUUCCUUGUAAGAUUUUGAGUUCACCCAUACCCUUUUUAGAUCGAGAAACCUUCGUUUUCUCGAGAAACCAGAACUGCCGAAUUCAUGCACUGUUCAUGCACUCAUAAAUGUGAGGUUUUUAGGAAUUUUUUAGGACAUAGUGAGCUUUGGAUCAUCCUCACGAAGCUUGGAGAAGAAAAACCAAGUGAAUUGGACGUCGGGAAGUGGAGAUCGACGAGUUCAAAGUUUGGCCGGAUUAUCGAAGGAUCUCCGGCGAAUUCUCGAGGGAUUUCAGGUCCCAAAAUUGGUAAGGUUUUAUUCCUUAUGUUGUAAGCUUCAUUUUGGUGAAGAUUUCGUGGAAUUUGGUGCAAAAAUGGGAGAGAUAUGAGGUUUUAUAUAUUUUCCAGUUUUCGGCAACGGCGACGGUCGCCGGAGGUCAAACGUAGGGGACGACGAGAUAUUCCAUCAAAAUUGAUGGAAUAUUCCUAACGGCCGUUAGGCCUCAGUUAGGGUUUGGCCGAGCGUGGGGGCGCGUAGGGCCGUGCCUCCGCCGGCGUGUGACGACGCGUGGGACGUCAGAAAAUUUUUCUAAAAAUAUGGGGAUGUUCAUGAGAUUGUGUAGUUCACGUUGGUAUAUUCAAACAUCCCAUUUGAGCAAUGUAUGAGAAGUUAUUAGCUAGUAUUGGUUAUGUGCUUUAAAUAACGUUUAUUUAGUUAUUUCACAUAUAGGUGAGACCUAUCUAGAGGACGAGCGCAGUCAAGGGCGACUCGGGGGCUACGACCCUUCGACAUACCAGUUAGUGGGCUUUUGGUUUUCAAUAUAUAUUUAUAUACUUGAUAUUUUCCCAGAAAAUGUGUUUAAAUGAAAGUAUGCUUUGAAAUGCCAUGCAUAUAGAUUUAUAUUCGGCAUAUGAAUUAGUAUAUGAUGCAUAAUAUGAAUUGGUACUGUGGAUGCUCAGGUAAGUACCAGGUGAGUUAUGUUUUGUUAUAUGAGAUAUUGAUAAUGUGAGACGUGAUUGAGAACUCAUAAACCUGCACCCCGGGUGAUUGUGAUUUAGCCAGAGAUAUGGCACAUGCCUGUAUAUAAUGUCACAUCCCGCACCAUAUGCUCACAUUGGAUCCAAUUUAGGUGCACAGUCUUGUCGUACAGACCAUUAGGUGAGUAGUGAUUUAUCGCACAGCUAUCAUGAGAGCGUAACAUUGAGCAUAAUUAUAUUACACUCAGUCUUGUCGUACAAACCAUUACAGUGGUUCCGACUCGUGUGCAGUGUAGUGCCGUAUAGGUCACUGACGAUGACUUCGGCUAGAUUGAUAAAUAAUAAAUUUAGUCGUACAGACCUCUGCAGGGGGUUCCGACUAAUAUGUUAUUUUCCAUGAAUUUAUUUUCACCUGAGUUACUUAUUCUGUUUUAUAUUUUGGCAUGGCAUACUUAUGAAUAGAUAUGUGAAGCAUGAUUUGAAUAUAUAUAUAUAUACACACACACACACAUAUAUAUAUUUAUAUUCUAUUUCUGGGAAAAUUAUACAUGUUUUACGGCGAUGGGUUAUAGUAUUUGAUAAAUGAAAUGGUUUUGAAGAACUUUGUUUUUGCCCACUCACGUUUUCUGUUUUGCGCCCCUCCAGGUUUUAGGUAAGCUUGCUCGUUGGUGGCUCACGAGGAUUAGUGGAGGUUCUGACAGACCAUAUCAAAUGUAGGACAUCUUUGGGUGUCGUUUAAUUAGUACUUGCUUUCUGGACUGAACUUAGGCUACUCUCACUCUGAUUGUGUAUUUACACAUAUACUAGCACUAGUCUUAACUAGUACUCUUACAAGUUGGUUUUCAAUUAUUCGUAUUCUCUAUUAUCAUUAUUGCUUCUGCACUGUGCACAUGACUACGUCACCCUCACGUGAUGGCCAGCAUACCCUGAUUCGGGUCGGGGUGUGUCAUCUACCCUUUUAAUUACAUUUUAUUUUCAAUAGUAUCUAAUGAGUAGAUUUUAUAUUAUAUAUUUUACCUUGAUCUUAGUUUAUUUUGGUUAUUAUUUUGGAAGAAUUUUGAUACUUUGAAUUGCAUUUGCAAUAUAGGAGUUUCAACUUCUUCUGGAGCAAAACGUGAUCAAAUGAAUGAAUUUUGGAGUGAUUCCAGCUGGAGGAUGUUCGUGAUUUUCUUAGCUUGAUCAUGUCAAAAUAUAAGAUUCUUCCACCAAUCGGUUAUUUUCUAGCGAUAGAAUAAAGGAGCACUGCGCGAUGCUGGAAAAAUGACGUUUUGGGCUUAAUUGCAAGUUUUGGAGUCUAAGAUAACUUAAUUUGGGUUCGGCCCCUUCUGGAGAUAUGUUCAGAACGUUCCGAUCUUUAAAACAAGCUGUCAUGGGCCGGAUUUGGAGGAGAUUUGAGGCUAAAACGUGGCUGGACAAUUCCCAGAUUCUCCUAGCUUAAUUAGGACUUUAUUUUCUAGUAUAUUUAUUAUUAUUUGGUUUCCUAGUUGGAUCCAAAGACUUUUAUUAGGGAUUAUUGCAGGUUUUAGGAGAGGAUAUAAGGUUUGACCGGCCUUAGUCCUUUACUUCUUCUUUCAUGCGACUUCGGAGAUAGGAAAUUGGCUAGGGUUCUUGAAGAUUUUUAGAGUUUAUUUAAGGUUUUUUCAAUCAUUUUCUUCAUAAUAAUAUUUUGUUUGAUUUUAAUUAUAAAUAUGCGUAACUAAUUUGUUUUGCUGGGGCGAAGUCUUGAAUCUUAGCAUGAAUAUGUAAUUUUUAUUUAAUUGAUAAUGAUUGAUCGUAUGUAUGCUUUGAAUUAUUGAUCACCAUUUUAAACUAUCUAAUUGUCUUGAUGACUAGCCACCAUUAUGAUGUUUAGACAAGUAAUUGGAUGCAAUUCGGUUAGAAUAUCACCAGAGGAUUGGGUAUUGCUUCUUGUGGUUAAUAAUUGUAAUUUCACCUAAGGCGAAUAUCACGCUCUUAGGGGUUGCAUGUUUUUCGGAGAGUUUCACAGAACUUAAUGAGUUUUGCAAGUUUAUAUUUGAUCUGAAUAUCACAGACGGAUUGCAUGUUAGAUAUACGUUCUUGCUUGAAAAUCACGAGGAGAAUAUGUAUCAGGAAAACCUAACCUUCAAAGUUGCAUAUGUAGAUCAUAAGUAAUUUGUCAAAAUACAUAGGAUUGUUAUGAUGAUGGCGGAACCCUAGUGUUUUUAUAAAUUGGUAUUUAAAAACUCUUUUCUAUUAUUUUUACAAUUUUGGUUUAUAGUUAAAAUUCAUUUAAUAUAAGUCAGGAUAUUUUAUAGGGAACUUUAACGAAAAGUUCCCAGUACUGUUCACUUUAACGAAAAACGUGCCUUGAUAAUCACAUGAUGUAUUUAAUGUAAUUAUAUAAUUGAUCAUUACAGUUGUGGAUAAUUACAAAAAAGUAUAAUAAAUAUACGCUGAGAUACACAUAGUCCUAAAUUAGUACUUAGUUCUGAAAACGCCAAUAAGAUAUAGAUCCAGAAAAUUGGACUUCUCGUCCUCGUCAUAUCACAUCAGCCUAUCAAGCCACCGUUACCAACACCUCCACAAUUUGCAGAGAAAUUCGCAAUGAAUGCUUAAACAAACAGAUCCAUCAAGGAUCUUACCAUGUAAGGUCGACCAACCGCAAAUAUGCAGAAAGAAGACAAAUCAAUUACAAAAUCCAGCGUUUCAGAAGGUAGAUCUGGAAAAUUUCUGACCAAACUUGCCUGAUCCAAAGCCCUAUAACCUAGGGAGAAAACAAAACCUCGCAAGAGGCAAUGAAGAACAAGCCUAGCACAAGAAGGCUAGGGAGCAAAAGCUCUCCACAUAAAUACGGGAGACAGGCCCUAUAGUCGUAGGACUCCUUGUCAAGAUUAGGCUUGGGUGAGUGGUUUUCAUAAGGGAUUGAAGCACAGUUGGUCAUGAACUUAUCAUAAACUGUUAUACGGAAGAUAUUAGAAAAUUGCUACAUGAGCAUCACAAAAGCAUGUGAGAGGCGAGAGUGAUUUUUAAACCCUUACUUGGUUUAAGUCAUUUUCAAAUCUUUUUCACAUGUCUUUACAAUGCUUAUAUGGUGUUUUUGUAAUCUCUCAUAUCUAGCAUUUUAUAAUUCAUUUUUUACUAAUUUGGUCUCAAGUUCACAGGGCUAGAAUUCUUCCCCCCAAACAUAGCUCAAAGGACUCACACCCUCCAAAUAAAGUAGACAACAAUACUACAAUUGACAUAAGUUUUUGUGUGGUAGUGAAUUAUUGUCACAUGCGCUCAUGCAGAUACUAAUAUGAAGAUAAAUUAUGGGAAGUGAAUUAUAUAUACUUCUUUUCGUUGCGCUCUCUUUUCAAUUUUUUUUUAUAUUUGAAUUGAAUUUAGAACAAUUCAGAAAACAAAGUAGCCCAAAAUGAUCUAUGUGAAAAUUAUUUCUAUAAACUCUACACACACACACACACACACACAAAACAAUUAAUGAUUGUUCCAUACCAACUUAUACAGUCAACCAACUGAUAAACUGGAAAAUAUGAUUAUAAUGAUAGCAUCCAAUUCCUAUCAAUGACUUUAGGGUAAAUUACAUAGUAGCUCUUCAGGUUUGAUGUCUACUACAACCUCAUACAAUAUCUUUGAAACAUUUCACUUUCAUAUCUCACGUACUAUUUUAUUUCAAAAUAAUACAUCCGUUACAUUUUCCAUCCAUUGAUCCGUUAAGUGCUGACGUGGCUGCCAAAUGUGUGCCACGUGGCAAAAAAAAUAAUUUUUUUUUAAAAAAAACCUUAAUCUUCUAAAUAAAAAAAAUCAAAAAGAGAAAAUUCAGAUCCCAUCAUCCCACCCCCUCCCCCAUACCUGAACCUUGAACAAAAAAAAAAAAAAAAAAAAAACCCAGAAAACCCAGUUCCCACUAACACACCUUCCCCCCAAAUCCCAUCAACACCCCCAUGUGAAACCUCGAUCCCAUAUCCCCCCCCCCCCCAAAAAAAAAAAUCAUCUUCCAUCAGUCAUCCGCACCCAUCCUCCACCUCCUCCCCUGCACCCAUCUCCACCUCAUCCGCACACCCAUAUUCCCAUCUUCUCCUGCCCCGCCCCCCCAACCCGAGCCCAACCUGCAACCCAGAAAGAAGAGGAAAAAAAAACCCAGCGCACCCACCCUCGCACUCAUCCUCUUCCCUCCUCUACACACCCUACUCCUUAAAUCCACACUCAUUGGGGAAGACGGGAUCUGGGUUGCAGGGAAAUGGCAAUAGGUUUUUUUUUUCGUUUCUUUUCUGGGUUGGAGGUAGUGGGUGCAGAGGAAGAGGUGGAGGAUGGGGUGCACGGUGGGUUUGGGGAAGACAAGAGGGGAAAGAAAGGGGUGGGUUGCAAGGAAAGGGGGUCGGGGAAGAUGAAGAUGGUUUUUUUUUUUCCACUCCUUUUCUUAAUCUUCUGGGUUGCAGGUUGGGUGGGUGGGGGUUGAAGGUUCAUCUUUUGUUUUUUGUUUUUUUUUUUUAUUUAGAAGAUUCAGGUAAAAAAAAAAAAAAAAAAAUUUGCCACGUGGCACAAAUGUGGUAGACACGUCAGCACUUAAUGGAUCAAUGGAUAGAAAAUGUAAUGGAUGUAUUAUUUUGAAAUAAAAUAGUAUGUGAGGUAUAAAAGUGAAAUGUUUUAAAGAUGUUGUAUGAGGUUGUAAUAGACCUCAAACCUAAGGGGUUACUAUGUAAUUUACCCAUAACUUUAUACUUGGAGAACUAAAUAUUAAUUUUAUAUACAAAUAAUUUUAGUAUUGUUUUUUUGUAGGACCAUAUAUAUUUUUAAUUAUAAAUGAAUUUUUUGCGAUAAUGAUUUAUGAAUGAUGAAUUGAAAUAUAGGUGGUUCAGAUCUUUGAAAAAAAAUUAUGAAACGAAAACUACAAAAAAUUGUGUCAAAAUAUGUACACACAAAUUUAAGGAUGUGUAGCACUAGGUAUACGUGGCAUUAGGUAUAUUUUUUAUUUUCAUAUUAAUAAAUUUCCUUCAUACCUCGAAAUUUUCUAUAAAAAAAAAAACAAAAAGAAAAAAAACGGCAGAAGGCCACUUGUGAUGAGUACUUUAGUCAUGGAAUGCUGAUCGAAGUGCUAUUAAAUUGUCACUUAGAAUCAUAACUCUUGGCUUAUAGUAUGAAAAAAAAAAUACAGAACAUUUGUAUAUUGCUUGCAAGCAAUUAGGUUCUGUUAGUCAACUCCAGCAACUUGAUUAGAAAGCAUGUAUAUAAAGCUGCGCAAUUACCAUGUCCACAUAUCCUGAUCAGGAAAUUUCCCCUGCUUGGCUUAGUUGAAAAUAGCAGAUAAGUCAAGAGCGUAUUUUAAAUUACUGUUGGUUAAUUAUUUUAAAUUUCACUAGCAUAUGGGUAUACACAAAGUGUGUGAGAAAAUUUUUUAUUUUUGUUUUUGAAAUAGAAGAGGGAGUGAUAGAGAACGUGGGAGUGAGAAUUUUUUUUAUUAUUUUUUUAUUUUUUAUAAUUAGAUAUAUGUUAGGAUUACAUGUAGGUGAGACUUUGAAAAAAAAAACAGCAAAAUUUGGUUGUAUGAAAUUACAUUUCUGCCCCAUAUUUCUUAUUCAUGUUCUAUUUUAAUUAGAGGGUUAAACUGGUAAUUUUAUAGGAUUUUGAUUGAAAAUGAAUGUUUUAUUAAUUAAUAGAGAUAAUCAAUAUUAAUUACCAGUGGGUGUACUUUAAAUUAUGCUUGAUUAAUUAUUGUAAAUUUCAUAAUCAUAGAAAACUAAUAGCUUAUUAUAUAUUGUUGUCAAAAUCGUGAGUUCGGCUGUUGGAAAGGAUUUUUAAUGGGUAAAUUACAUUUUACCUCCUCAGAUUUGGAUGCAAUUGCAACCUCAUACAACAUUUUAAAAACAUUUUAAUUUCAUACAUUUAGUUAUCAUUUCAUUUCAAUGUCAUACAACCGUUAAAAAUUCUGUUAAGUUAGCUGUUAAGUGAUGAUGUGGUAACAGUGGGUCUCCCAUGUUUGCUUAUGUGGUUAACAACUUCUGCCACAUGGACAAACAAUUAAUAUUUUAUUUAAAAAAUUACAAAAAAAACCCUUAAAAAAUGGCUAAAAAAAAGGGAUAACUUGAUAUAGAUCCAAUUUUGUGAGCCAUUAGUAGGAUUAGUCCACUUCAUUGAAAUAGGUUCAAUAAUUGAGAUUCUACGUAUGCUUAUUUGUGGUUUGUACCAUAUUUACCCCUUAGGCUUACAAAUUGUAGUAAAUACACAAAAUUUCUUAAUUAUGGGAUUAUUUGUGGUUUAACUAAUCCCUUAAUUGUAGGAUUAGUUAUAGCCAUGUAAUCACCUCAACCCCCAGUCCGUUUCAUCCCUCCUUUUUUACUUCUUCCAAACAAUUCCCUCUAUCAAUCUUCCUCUUUGUUGUCUCUUCUUUUCAUGGGUGAUAUUUUUGUGUUCUUCCCUCCAAAUUCGUUCCUUUAAUGGAGGUAUAUUACAUCAUAUUUAUAUUUCUAUGUUCCUCCAUGUAGGUUCCCAACAUUUUUCUUCCAAUACAAUAGGUAGUUUAUUUUUGUUUUGCAGGUAGAUUAUAUCUGCUUUAUAGGUAUAAAGCAUUUUUCUUCCUAUACAAUAGGUAGGUAGUUACUAGAUUAUAUCGGUUUUGUUUUCUUCAUAAAUAGUAGGUAGUUACUAUAUAAUAUUUUAGUUUGAGUAUUUAAAUAUUCAAAAUUUAAAAACUGAAUAAAUGAUAUAAAAAAAAUUAAAGAAUUUAAAUAUUUUUAUCUGAAGGGGCAAAAUAUAUAUCAAAAUAUGUAAUUGGAUAACUAGACUCAGUCCCAAAAACUACCUAUGUUUUUGGACCUAGAUCCAAAAGCCCAAAAAAAAAAAAAAACAACCUUCCACAGCCCCUCUCCACCCCACGCUGAAAAUGCAAAGCCCCAACCCUAGAUCUUCCAUCCCCUCCAAUACGUCGUCAACAUCUUCGUCCACCACUGCAAGCCCGCCGGCAACACCAACAUUGCCUCCAACCCCACCCACGUCGACUGACGCUGCAAAUCGGACGACAACAUCAUAUUCUUCCUCGCGCGACAAUAUGUUGGGGGUCGCGGUGGUUGAGGCAGAGAGCACAAAGUGGUGAACUCCCAAACUCCGGCUGACGAAUUUGGUGGCGGUAGUUCAGGCAGAGAGCGCAAGUGGACUGACAAUUUGAGACAUGGAUCAAAUUUAGGGGUUGGGUUGGAUUCGACAAAAUUUGGGGGUUGGAUUUGUCCAAAUCCUAAAUUUUCCCAAACCCAGGUCCAAGUUGCAGGGGUCGAAGCCGACGUCAAUGGCAACGACGGAUGAGGAAAUGGGGUUUGCAGGGGGAGAGGGAGAAUGUGAUUGGGGAUGGGGAUGGGGAUGGGGAAGGGGAAGACAUGGGUUUUAGGGUUUUUUUUUUAUUAAAUAAUUAUUUUAGUAUUUAAUAUUCUGAUUAAAUUAUUAUUUUUUAAAUGCAUAGAAAUUUUUUUGCCACGUGGCAUAAAUUUGGUAACCACGUCAGCACAAAUAUAGAUCCUAUAUUUGCCAUGUUAUCACUUAACAUAUUUUCUAACGAAUGUAUGAAAUUGAAAAAAAAUGAUAAGUAAAUGUAUGAAAUUGAAAUGUUUUAAAGAUGUUGUAUGAGGUUGCAAUCGACCCCAAACCUGACGAGGUAAAAUGUAAUUACCCUUUUUUUAAUUAAGUUGACAUGAGCUGCAAAUAAUAUGCGUUGACACUAUUUUGCCAAAAAUCGGUGUAUUGAGAAAAUAAUACCAAUUACUUCAAAAAAAUAAAAAAACAGUUACGACUAAUUAUUUUUUAUCGUCAGUUGCUAGUUACAAAUAUAACUAGAUCUUGUGCCCUUGUAAUAUUUUUAAGAAAAUUUUCAUUUAUUAUUUGACAAAAAAAAAUAAUUGUGAUAAUUAUAAUCCAUCCAUCUCAACUAUUUGCGGUUUUACUUUAAAAAUAUUAUUUCACAUACGUCUCGGUCAUCCAUUUAUGAUUACAUGACUAAAAUUUCACAUAUGUCUCAAUCAACUAUUUAUGUCACAGCCCGUCCCAGAAGAUUAUUCUCGAUGACUUGAAAUGACAAUUUUACCCUUGGACGUUAAAGUAUGUUGUGUGGUUUAAGUUGGAUUUUGGACCCAUUCAUUAAUUUCCUAAGUCUUUGGACCUAAUUGGAAGUAAGGAAAUUGUUUGUUUUGAUGGGUGACCCAAAAAUCUGGACCACACAUCCUUUCUCUCUCUCACUCUCCCGUGCUCUCUUCUCUCUCUCGGACUCACUCUCUCUUCCCUUUCCUCCGUACGGACAACCUUGAACCAAGCCAAAUCUUCAUAGAUCAAGGAAGAAAAUGGUACCAUUGUGUUCGUGAGGACCAUACGAGUUCAAAGGUACCCAUUUCAGGUAAGAACUCGUUCGAUAUCACGUUAAAAACUCAAACUCCGAGUUGAUCACUAUUCAUGAACUUUUGCAUGGUUAUGUUUUAGGACAAUCCAAGCUCAUAGCGAGCUCUAGGAGGUUCUCACGAAGCUCGGAGUGCUUCGUUGGCUCGGUUUUGACGUCGGGAUCACAAGGUUCGAAGGUGGCCGGUUUUGGUAGAAUUUUCCCGACGAGUUUUCGAGGGAUUUGAAGCUCCCAAGAGGUAUAACCUUCUUCCUUUCGUGAUUUAUGGCAUUCUGGUGAAAAUUGUGUGAAAAAUGGUGCAAAAAUGAGCGAGAAAAAGGCAGUUGCAGGUCUGCCCAGAAUCCGGCGCCGGUGACACUGUUCCAGCGUCUGGAAGUUGAAGAUGAUGCGCGUGGGGCCGUGCCCUCCCCGGCGCGUGAGGGCUCAUGAGCCACAGAAAAUUUAUUUUAAAAAUAUCACGAUGUUCGUGAGGUUGUGUAGGUCGCGUUGGUAUAUUCAAAUACCAAAAUUGAGCUUUGUAUGAGAAAUUAUUAGCUAGUUUUGUGUAUGUGCUUUAAAAUAACGUUUUUAUAGUUAAUUCGCAUAUAGGUGAGACUUAUCCCGAGGACGAGCGUAUCCACGGGCGACUCGAGGGUUACGACCCGUUGACAUACCAGUGAGUGGGCUUUUGGUUUUCAGUAUAUAUUUAUAUACUUGAUAUUUUCCCAGAAAAAUAUGUUUAAAUGAUAAUAUGCCAUAAAUGCCAUGCAUAUACAAUUAUGUUUCGUGUAUGAAUUGGUGUGUGAUACCUUAUAUAUAUAAAUGUGGUGCUAUGGAGGCACAGGUAAGUUCAGGUAAGUUAUGUUUGGUUAUGUGAAUCAUCGAUGAUGUGAUAUGUGAUUGAAUAAUGUUGAGCUCAUUAAACUACACCUAGGGUGAUUGUGAUUUAGCCAGUGAUAUGAAGUACAUGCCUGUUUAUUUACGUCACCUCCCGCAUUAUAUGCUCAUAUUGGAUCCAACUUAAGUGCAUAGUCUUGUCGUACAGACCUUAUUUAUGGUUCCGACUGUAGGUGACUAGCGAAUUAUUGCCCGGCUAUUAUAAGAGAGUAAAAUUGAGCAUAAUCAUAUUACACCCAAUCUUGUUGUACAGACCCCUUUUUAGUGGUUCCGACUUAUGUGCAGUAUAUUGCCGUAUAGGUCAUUGUAGUGACUCCGGCUAGAUUGACUUUUGAGUUAUGAAUUCAGCCGUACAGACUACCACAGGGGUUCCGACUAACAUAUCAUAUUUCUAUGAAAUCAUUCUUACCUGGAUUGUUUACUUUGUUAUAUUUUGGAAUGGCAUACAUAUGCUUAUGAUUAUGUGAAGUAUGAUUUGAAUUGAUAUAUUUUUCAUAUUCAUUUAUGUAUAUGCUUAUAUUCUGAUUCUGGGAAAAAUUAUACAUGUUUUACAGCGAGGGGUUAGACAUGUUGAUAAAUGAAAUGGUUUUGUAAAACAUUUGUUUUUGCCCACUCAUGUUUUCUGUUUUGCGCCCCUCCAGGUUUUAAGUAAGCUUGCUGUUGGUGGCUUGAGGACGUCGGCAGUUCUGACCUAUCUAAAUAAUAGUAGGACAUUCCUGGUACUGUAUAACUAGUACUUGUCCUACUGGACUGCACCUAGACUUUAUGCUCUGAUUAGGAGUGUUUACUUCUGUAACUAACUCCUAUCACUCCCUGUUUAGUAGUGCAUUCUAGUAAUGUGAUUCUUAAUUAUUAGUAUAUUUUCUUAUCAUUAUUGCUUCCGCACUGUGCACAUGGCUACGUCACUCUCACGUAAUGGCCAGCAUGCCUUGAUCUCGGUCGGGGUGUGUCAGUUUGGUAUCAGAGCAUAGGUUUAGCAGUCAUGUAUAAUUCUUGAAUGUUCUAAUCCUUGUGAUGUCUUAUGUCAGAAUUAUGUCGCCUCGUAGAGAGCCCCGUCAAUCAGCUGAACCUAGUUUCCCCAAUAUUGCUCAAUUAGGGGAAGCUAUAGUUUCUGCCAUUCAGACUGCAUUCCGUACUCCCAGAGGAUACCUCUCAAGACAGUUUAUAAUCUGAAGUUGACUCACUUCAUUGGAAAUGAAGGACAUGAGGGGGCGGAAAAAUGGUUGAAUCAUAUGGAGAAUACCUUUCAGGUGAUGCAGAGUCAAGGGAAUCUUCCUCCUGAUAGGUGGGUCGAGACGACUACCUGGUUUUUGGGGGAACAACCUGCAACCUAGUGGAGACAGGAGUCUUACCAGUUGACCCCAGCAGAGAUUGUGGACUAGGGAGUGUUUAAGGAGCUGUUUCGGAAAAGGUUCAUUCCUUAUGCGUAUAUCGAUCGUAAGAAACAUGAGUUUACUCAUCAGAAGCAAGGAAAGACGUCCGCUGAUGAGUAUUAUAGGAUGUUUGCUGAUCUGUCGAGAUAUGAUCCGGAGGUUGCUGCUAAUUCGGUAGAGAUGCUUCGCCGUUUCAGUUUGGGUACUAAGAAGAAAUGGCAUUCCAUAGCGACAUCGACUCACUGUGCUACAUACCAGGAGUUUUAUGAGAUUUUACUGAGAAUUGAGGACUCGGAAAGCAUGCCUAGUGAAAGUGAGGAUGAGGAAGGAAAGAAUGGGGGCCAGAAACGAGAUGAUAAGGGGAAAAGGCAAGCAUUUCAGGGACCCCGCAAGACCCAGAACUUUAAGAGGAGUGGUGGCAGUUCCAGCUCUUCUAGCGGAGGAUUGCGUACUAAUAUGCAAAGAAUAGAUGGUAGAUUUACUGGAGGCCCUAGGUUCUAGAGACAGAGAGAUUUUGGUGGUUCAGGUGGAUCUGGUGCUCUUUUAUGCCGCAAGUGUAAUAGUCAACGUUUUGGGGAGUGUAGGAGAGGCAGCAGUGGAUGUUUUACUUGUGGAUAGAUGGGUCAUAGGGCUGCCCAAUGCCCUCAGAGUCAGCAGAGACCCUAGUAGCCUUCUUUCCCACCACCUGCACCGUCCCAGCAAGCUUCAAGAUCUGGUGGUUAUGCUCAAACUAGACGAGGAGGUGCCUACCACUAUUAAGGUGACGCCGCUCCUUACACCUCAGGACAACAUCAGUAUUCUCAGGACCCUCAGUAUCAGAGUGGGUACCCUCAGUAUCAGGGAGGAUUUAUGUCUUAUUAGCCUCAUUCAAUCGGAGGAUAUCAGUGGUAGCAAGGGGGACAGCCCCAGCAGGGAGAGAUUGCUGCUAGUAGUGCAGGAUCUUCGAGGCAGUCGGGUCAGCAGAGGCAAUGAUGUGGUAUUCAUGCCAACAGAGGUAGUGGUGGACGACAGCAGAAUCAGGGGCGUAUCCACAACAUGUCACUGCAAGAUGCCCAGAAUAAUCUAGAUUUAAUCAUGGGUACGUUAAAUAUUCUUGGUCAUUUUGCUAGAGUAUUGAUUGAUUGUGGUGCUACACAUUCUGUUAUUUCUCAUACAUUUGCUCAAGUGACGCAACCUCAUCCUACACCUUUAGGAUAUAAUUUAGAAUUUUCUAUGCCUAGAGGGGAUAGAUGUUUUGUGGAUUGGGUAUAUCCGGGAUGUCCAGUGAUAGUAGAGGAUGUUGUUAUGCCGGCUAAUCUUAUGUCGUUGGAUAUUAUGGAUUUUGAUGUGAUUUUGGGCAUUGAUUGGUUGCACUAUAAUCGUGCCAAGAUAGAUUGUUAUGGGAAGACAGUCACAUUUCAUCGUAUCGGAUUACCUGAAGUUACAUUUGUAAGAGAGCCUAGUAGGGUGAGACAUGGUAUUAUUUCAACUAUGAAAGCAAAGAGAAUGUUGUCGAAAGGUUGUCAGGGAUAUUUGGCUCAUGUGGUGUUGAAUGAUGAUGCUCCUAGUAGUGUGGAAGAUGUUCGUGUGGUCAGAUAUUUUUCGUAUGUAUUCCCUAAGGAUUUGCCUGGAUUGCCGCCAGAUAGAGAGGUGGAGUUUGUUAUUGAUCUACUUCCAGGUACGAAUCCUAUAUCCUUAACUCUUUAUAAAAUGGCUCAUGCUGAAUUGAGGGAAUUGAAAGUACAGUUGCAAGAGUUAGUGGAUAAAGUUUUUAUUCACCCGAGUACUUCACAUUGGGGAGCUCCAGUUUUAUUCGUGAGGAAGAAAGAUGGAACUUUGAGGCUGUGCAUUGAUUACAGGCAAUUGAAUCGGGUAACCAUUAAAAACCGUUAUCCAUUGCCUCGUAUAGAUGAUUUAUUUGAUCAACUCAGAGGUGCCUGUGUAUUUUCUAAGAUUGACUUGAGGUCGGGAUACUAUCAGUUGAAGAUUAAAAAUGAAGAUGUCCCUAAAACCGCAUUCAGGACUCGAUAUGGUCAUUAUGAGUUUCUUGUGAUGUCAUUCGGGUUAACUAAUGCACCAGCAGCUUUUAUGGAUUUGAUGAAUCGAGUAUUCCAGCCAUAUUUGAACAGGUUUAUUAUUGUCUUCAUUGACGAUAUUCUGGUAUAUUCUAAGUCUAAGGCUGAGCAUGCUAGACAUCUAAAGUUGGUGUUGAGCAGUUUGAGGGAACACCAACUAUAUGCUAAGUUUAGCAAAUGUGAAUUUUGGUUGAAUCAAGUAUCAUUUUUGGGACAUGUCGUUUCUUCUCAAGACAUUCAAGUGGAUUCUCAGAAAGUGGCAGCUGUGGAGAAUUGGGAACAACCUCGAACCGUCACCGAGAUACGGAGUAUUCUUGGCCUAGCAGGCUAUUAUAAACGGUUCGUUAAGGAUUUUUCAGUGAUUGCUUUGCCAUUGACGGGGUUAACUCGAAAGGAUGUUAAGUUUGAGUGGGAUAAUAAGUGUGAGCAAAGUUUUCAGCAGUUGAAAUAUUAUCUCACUCAUGCACCUGUUCUAACACUUCCAGAUGAUAACGGUAAUUAUGAGGUCUAUAGUUAUGCUUCUCUUAAUGGUUUGGGUUGUGUAUUGAUGCAACAUGAUAGGGUAAUUGCUUAUGUUUCGAGACAGUUGAAACCUCAUGAGAAGAAUUACCCUACACAUGAUUUGGAGUUAGCAGCUAUCAUCUUUGCCUUGAAGAUUUGGAGACAUUAUCUUUAUGGUGAGAAAUGCAAGAUCUUCACAAAUCAUAAGAGUCUUCAGUAUUUGUUUACUCAGAGAGAUCUUAAUCUUCGACAGCGGAGGUGGAUUGAGUUACUUAGUGACUAUGAUUGCACGAUUGAGUAUCAUCCUGGUCAUGUAAAUGCUGUGGUGAAUGCACUUAGUUGGAAAACUCCAGUCAGACUUAAUGCCAUUUAUGAUUGCCACGUUCCUCUUCUAGCAGAUUUGAGAUCCACUGGAGUGGAGUUAGGAGUGGAAGAUCGAGAAGAAGCCUUGCUUACUAAUUUUCAGGUUAGGCCAAUUUUAAUUGACCGUGUGCUUGAAGCUCAGAUGUAUGAUGAGGAGACCCAGGAAAUAAUUCAAGCAAGAAAUCAAAGAAAAAAUAAAGAUUUCGGGAUUCGAGAAUAUGAUGGUAUGCUUAUGCAGGAAAGCAGAAUGUAUGUGCCAAAUAAUGCAGAGUUAAAGAAAGAAAUUUUGGAUGAAGCACACAUUUCAGCAUAUGCGAUGCAUCCAGAAGGCACUAAGAUGUAUCAUGCCAUUAGACCAUUUUAUUAUUGGCCAGGUAUGAAAAGAGAAAUUGCCGAAUAUGUGAGUAGGUAUGCCAUUUGCCAAUAGGUUAAAGUUGAAAGGAAGAAGCCGUUUAGGUUGAUGCAACCACUUCCCGUUCCACAGUGGAAAUGAGAAAAUAUUACUAUGAAUUUUGUGUACAAGCUUCCUCGUACACAGAAUGGAUAUGACGGCAUUUGGGUGGUAGUUGAUCGGCUUACGAAGUCAGCACAUUUUAUUCCAGUGAGGGAGAAGUAUUCGUUAAGCCGAUUAGCUAAGUUAUUUACAUCGCAGAUUGUGAAGUAUCAUGGUGUGCCAGUUAAUAUUAUCUCAAAUCGGGAUCUCAGAUUUACUUCCAAGUUCUGGAUAGCAUUCCAGGAAGCUCUUGGUACGAGAUUGCUUUAUAGUACAGCAUAUCACUUUUAGACAGAUGGACAAUCUGAUAGAACUAUUCAGACAUUAGAGGAUAUGUUGAGAUCUUCAAUGCUGCAGUUUUGAGAUAGUUGGCAUGAUUGUUUGGAUUUGAUGGAGUUCGCCUACAACAACAGUUAUCAUUCGAGUAUUAGUAUGGCACCAUUUGAGGCACUUUAUGGGAAAUCUUGUCGUACGCCUCUAUGUUGGUCAGAGGUUGGCGAAAUAGUUUUAGUGGGCCAGAGAUUGUGGAUGUGACUACUCAAAAUGUUCAGGUAAUUAAGUCUAACCUGAAAGCGGCCCAAGAUCGACAAAAGAGAGUAGCAGACAAGCACGCCACUGAUCGGAAGUAUAAUGAAGGUCAUUGGGUACUUCUAAAGCUAUCAUCUUGGAAGGGUGUUGUACGAUUUGGAAAGAAAGGAAACUUGAGUCCUAGGUACAUUGGACCAUAUAUGAUCACCGAACGAGUUGGUGAGGUUGCUUACAGGCUUGAGUUGCCUCCAGAGUUAUCCAAAGUGCACGAUGUGUUUCAUGUUUCGAUGCUCCGACAUUAUGUUUCAGAUCCUUCACAUGUGAUUCCUCCUCAACCUUUGGAAAUUAAUCCGGAUUUGACUUAUGAUAAGGAACCAAUGACUCUAUUGGAUUGGAAGGAUAAGGAACUAAGGAAUAAGACUGUGCGCUUGGUGAAAGUAUUAUGGAGAAAUCAUUCAGUGGAAGAAGCUACUUGGGAGACCGAGGAUCAAAUGAGAGAGAUGUAUCCAUGCUUGUUCUAUGAUUAUUAGUGGAUGUAUUGGUUGUAUGUAAUUUCGAGGACGAAAUUUUAUAAGGUGGGGAGAUUGUCACAGCCUGUCCCGGAAGAUUAUUCUCGAUGACGUGAAGUGACAAUUUUACCCUUGGACGUUAAAGUAUGUUGUGUGAUUUAAAUUGGAUUUUGGACCCAUUCAUUAAUUUCCUAAGUCUUUGGACCCAAUUGGAAGUAAGGAAAUUGUUUGUUUUGAUUGGUGACCCAAAAAUCUGGACCACACAUCUUUUCUCUCUCUCACUCUCCCGUACUUUCUCUUUUCUCUCUCGGACUCACACUCUUUUCCCUCUCCUCCGUACAGACAACCUUGAACCAAGCCAAAUCUUCACAGAUCGAGGAAGAAAAUGGUACCAUUGUGUUCGUGAGGACCAUACGAGUUCAAAGGUACCCAUUUCAGGUAAGUACUCGUUCGAUAUCACGUUAAAAACUCAAGCUUCGAGUUGAGCACUAUUCAUGAACUUUUGAAUGGUUAUGUUUUAGGACAAUCCAAGCUCACAGCGAGCUCUAGGAGGUUCUCACGAAGCUCAGAGUGCUUCGUUGGCUCGGUUUUGACGUCGGGAUCACGAGGUUCGAAGGUGGCCAGUUUUGGUAGAAUUUUCCCGACUAGUUUUCGAGGGAUUUGAAGCUCCCAAGAGGUAUAACCUUCUUCCUCUCGUGAUUUAUGGCAUUCUGGUGAAAAUUGUGUGAAAAAUGGUGCAAAAACGAGCGAGAAAAAGGCAGUUGCAGGGUAUGCCCAAAAUCCGGCGUCGGCGACACUGUUCUGGCGUUUGGAGGUUGAAGAUGAUGCGCGUGGGGCCGUGCCCUCCCCGGCGCGUGAGGGCUCGUGAGCCACAGAAAAUUUAUUUUAAAAAUAUCACGAUGUUCGUGAGGUUGUGUAGGUCGCGUUGGUAUAUUCAAAUACCAAAAUUGAGCUUUGUAUGAGAAGUUAUUAGCUAGUUUUGUGUAUGUGCUUUAAAAUAACGUUUUUAUCGUUAAUUCACAUAUAGGUGAGACUUAUCCUGAGGACGAGCGUAUCCACGGUCGACUCAGGGGUUACGACCCGUCGACAUACCAGUGAGUGGGCUUUUAGUUUUCAGUAUAUAAUUAUAUACUUGAUAUUUUCCCAGAAAAAUAUGUUUAAAUGAUAAUAUGCCAUAAAUGCCAUGCAUAUACAAUUAUGUUUCGUGUAUGAAUUGGUGUGUGAUACCUUAUAUAUAUAAAUGUGGUGUUGUGGAGGCACAGGUAAGUUCAGAUAAGUUAUGUUUGGUUAUGUGAAUCAUCGAUGAUGUGAUAUGUGAUUGAAUAAUGUUGAGCUCAUUAAACUGCACCUAGGGUGAUUGUGAUUUAGCCAGUGAUAUGAAGUACUUACCUAUUUAUUUACGUCACCUCCCGCACUAUAUGCUCAUAUUGGAUCCAACUUAAGUGCACAGUCUUGUCGUACAAACCUUAUUUAUGGUUCCGACUCGUAGGUGACUAGCGAUUUAUCUCCCGGCUAUUAUGAGAGUAAAAUUGAGCAUAAUUAUAUUACAUCCAAUCUUGUCGUACAAACCCCUUUUUAGUGGUUCCGACUUAUGUGCAAUAUAUUGUCGUAUAGGUCAUUGUACUGACUCUGACUAGAUUGACUUUUGAGCUAUGAAGUCAGCCGUACAGACUACCACAUGGGUUCCGGCUAACAUAUCAUAUUUCUAUGAAAUCAUUCUUACCUGGAUUGUUUACUUUGUUAUAUUUUGGAAUGGCAUACAUAUGCUUAUGAUUAUGUGAAGUAUGAUUUGAAUUGAUAUAUUUUCAUAUUCAUUUAUGUAUAUGCUUAUAUUCUGAUUCUGGAAAAAAUUAUACAUGUUUUACAACGAGGGGUUAUAUAUGUUAAUAAAUGAAAUGGUUUUGUAAAACAUUUGUUUUUGCCCACUCACGUUUUCUGUUUUGCGCCCCUCCAGGUUUUAAGUAAGCUUGAUGUUGGUGGCUUGAUGACGUCGGCAAUUCUGACCUAUCUAAAUAAUAGUAGGACAUUCCUGGUACUGUAUAACUAGUAUUUGUCCUACUGGACUACACCUAAACUUUAUGCUCUGAUUAGGAGUGUUUACUGUUGUAACUAACUCCUAUCACUCCCUGUUUAAUAGUGCACUCUAGUAAUGUGAUUCUUAAUUAUUCGUAUAUUUUCUUAUCAUUAUUGUUUCCGCACUGUGCACAUGGCUACGUCACUCUCACGUGACGGCCAGCAUGCUUUUAUCUCGGUCGGGGUGUGUCAAUUUAUUUUUAAAUUGACUAAAAUGCAAAAUUCUCAUAUAUUAAAAAAAAUUGCGGUAAUUAUAAAGGAAUUUUAAUGAAAAACCCGCAGUACUAUUUAUUUUAACGAAAAAUUACAUUUUUACAUUAAAAAGUCAAUCCUUAUACUAUUCACUUUACUUUUUAUUUUGUCCUUAUCGUUAAAACUCAAAAAUUUUAAACUAUUUUUAUUAGUUUUCCUUAAUUAUAAAGGAUCCAUCCAUCUGAACUAUUUGCAGUUUUACUUAAAAAAAUUUAGUUCACAUACGUCUCCGUCAUCCAUUUAUGAUUACAUGACUAAAAUUUCACAUUCGUCUCAAUCAACCAUGUAUGUUAAAAUUGACUAAAUGCAAAAUUCUCAUAUAUUAAAAAAAAUUAAUUGCAAUAAUUAUAAAAAAGUUUUAAUGAAAAGUUUGCGGUACUGUUUACUUUAAAGAAAAAUCACAUUUUUACACUAAAAAAUCAAUAUUGAUUCUAUUCGUUUUAACCUUUAUUUUGUCUUUAUGAUUAAAACUCAAAGUUUUCAAACCAUUAUCAUUAGUUUUCUUUAAUUACAAGGUAUCUAUCCAUCUAAACUAUUUGCAGUUUUACUUAAAAAAAAUAUUUCACAUACGUCUUAGUCAUCCAUUUAUGAUUACAUGACUAAAAUUCACAUACGUCUCAUCAACCAUUUAGGUUAAAAUUGACUAAAAUGCAAAAUUCUCAUAUAUUAAAGUCUUUAAAUUGGAUCCUUAUGAAAGAAUUUCACUUGGGUGUGUAUGCAUAUCUUUAGCUGAAUCUGACCGGCCUUCGGUAUCGGUAAAAAAAAAGGUUUUCAAAAUCAUUUUUAUGAUAUUUUUCUACUAGAAUUUGUCUUUGAUUAGUAUUUUGCAUGGACUAUGUUCGAGAGAGAGCGACCAAACUUGAUAUCGGCAGGCGUUCACUGUUUAGUAAUACAUAGUCCAUACAAAUUUUGGUGCUGAUUAUCUAAAUUACAUAUUAAUAAAAUUUUCAUUGUCAACCAAAAGUUUAUGAAAUUACCAUUCUAACCCUUUAAUUAAAACUAAACAUAUAUAAGGAAUGUAGGCAGUAAUAUAAUUUUACACAACCAAAUUUUUUUUUUUUUCAAAGCCGCACUUAUAUGUGAUUCUAAUAUAUCUCUAAUUUAAAAAUUAAAAAGUAAAGCUCUCUCCUCUCUCUCCCUAUCCCACGCUCUCUCUCCCUCUUUUCCUCUCUCCUUCCAUUUUAAAUACAAAAAAUACAAAAUUUUCACACACAUUUUGUAUGUGGUCAUAUGCUAGUAUUCCACAUUAUGAUCCAAUACUUUUUGGUAAUUUAGGUCAACUACAUAUUAAUAAAAUCCUCAUUGUCAACCAAAAGUUUAUGAAAUUACUAUUCUAACCCUUUAAUUAAAACUGAACAUAUAUAAGAACUGUGGGCAGUAAUAUAAUUUCACACAAUCAAAAUUUUGUUUUUUUUUUCAUAGCCUCACCUAUAUGUGAUUCUAACAUAACUCUAAUUAAAAAAUAUAAAAAGUAAAGCUCUCUCCUCUCUCUCCCCAUCCCACGCUUUCUCUCUCUUUUCCUCUCUCCUUCCAUUUUAAAUACAAAAAAUACAAAAUUUUCACACACAUUUUGUGUGUGGGCAUAUACUAGUAUUCCGCAGUAUGAUCCAAUACUUUUUGGUAAUUUAGGUUAUGAUAAUCAAUUCAAUAACUCCCAACUUAUACCUAUAUAGCCAAAAGUAAUAUAAGGGGCAGAUUUAUGUCACCAUAUUUUUACACAACUUUUGAUACUUGUUUUUGUGAGGCUCAUUCCGUAAUGUAUUUCAAGGAUCCAAACGUCUAUAUUUUAGGUUUCCCUCAAAUAUUAUGUUUACCAAAAAUCACUUAAAUAUGAAAUCAUAUGACCGUUGAAUGUCUUAACGGUUUUAUAUUUGGUUCAUUUUUUGCAAGAAUGAUAUAUGAAAAAAUUUCUCAAAAAUAGAUGGUUCAUUUUUUGGUUUUAAGGGCAAGUAAGGUAACACAAGUCAUUGACUUCCGUUCGUGUCCUUCGAGGUCCACUCAUUCCCUCCCCUCAAGCGAAUAAAAAGCUGUAUUUCAGACUCAUUCUCCUUACAAGUCUGUCGUCUUUCUUCGCCACUCUCACAAAUUUUCAUACAUACAAUCCAACAAAUUCCAAAACCUCUCAACAUAUUCCAUCCAGCUAGCUGCACAAACUGAUUCUUUUGUCUCUGGUUUUCUCUUCAAAUGUGAAAGACUUUGCCUAGAAAAAUGAUGAUUAUGUUCUUCCCUCGACUUCUUCCUCAUUCUCUUUUCUUUGUAGCUUGCUUUGUAACUUUUGCCUUUGGAGCUACUCGAUUGCCAAAUGAUGAAGGUACGAGUAUAAAUCUUUCUUAGUUUCCUUUUCUUCAUUCUUUAAAUGAUAGUUUUAAGUUCGUUUGAUAAUUUUUUUUGAGUUUUCAAAUUUGGUUUGGGUUGAUUUUGGUUUUCAGUUUACAUUUUUCCGAGAAGUGAAAACGGUUACCAUAAAUUAAAAAAUCAAAAUAAAAAUGUUUAUCAAAUGGACCUUAGGCAAAGAGAUAUUUGUGUGAACUUAGUAGAAAUUUUCAAUCAUAUGAUGCUGAGGUGCACUCUGUAGUUCUUGUCUAUGCGUCAAUUUUAUUUUAUUUUUACUAUUUUGUUCAGCACGAUGUUAAUUUGUUGCAUUUUAUUUUGGCGUAUAUGCAGUGCAAACUUUGAAAGGCAUAGCAAAGACACUGGGGAAGACGGGCUGGGAUUUCAGUGGAGACGCAGAUCCAUGCAGCGGCCAAUCUCCAUGGACUAAUACAAGCUCACCGAAAGAAAUUCAGAAUACCAUCAUCUGUCAUUGCUCCGAUGAAAACUCCACUGUCUGCCAUAUUACCAACAUGUAAAUCUCUCUCUCUCUCUCUCUCUCUCUCUCUCUCUCUCUCUCAAAAACAAACAUGCCCGACUCAGAACUCAGUGAGAUUUUUAAGUGUGCUUCCGGAACAUGAUAUAACACGUGUUAUUAUAUAAAUUGUGGGUUACUUGUGUGAAAAAGUAGCACAAUUUGAAAAAUAAAACCUCAUUCUACUUAUAUAACAACAUGUGAUGUACGUUCCGAACACAAUUAAAAAUUUCUGGAUAAACAGUUUACUCGUUGUGUGUUUGAACGAGUUCCAUCUCAUGCAAUAUAUAGAAAUAUUAAGAGCAAAAUAAAGAAAAAGUUGAGAAAAUAAUUAGCCAAUUAGGUGCUAAAUUAGUCGAAUAACUUGACUAAGCAAAAGCAACGUACAUAUUAGGCUCCUUUUGUUGUGAAAGGUUGAGAAGGAUAGGAUCAAAGUUGUUCAGUCUUUGUCAUACCAAUCACAUUAAAGAGAAAAAACAAGAAAGGUCUACGUCCACGUACCAUCCAGUCGAUGAGUGAAGAAAUAUUAAAAAAAAAAGUCAUUGUUUUUCACUUAUAUUAUGAUAUGUGAUGUACUGCUUGAAAAAAUCUCUACUUAAUGAGUGCUAGUAGCACAAUUUGAAAAAUAAAACCUCAUUCUACUUAUAUAACAACAUGUGAUGUACGUUCCGAACACAAUUAAAAAUUUCUGGAUAAACAGUUUACUCGGUGUGUGUUUGAACAAGUUCCAUCUCAUGCAAUAUAUAGAAAUAUUAAGAGAAAAAUAAAGAAAAAGUUGAGAAAAUAAUUAGCCAAUUAGGUGCUAAAUUAGUCGAAUAACUUGACUAAGCAAAAGCAACGUACAUAUUAGGCUCCUUUUGUUGUGAAAGGUUGAGAAGGAUAGGAUCAAAGUUGUUCAGUCUUUGUUAUACCAAUCACAUUAAAGAGAAAAAACAAGAAAGGUCUACGUCCACGUACCAUCCAGUCGAUGAGUGAAGAAAUAUUAAAAAAAAAAGUCAUUUUUUUCACUUAUAUUAUGAUAUGUGAUGUACUGCUUGAAAAAAUCUCUACUUAAUGAGCGCUAGUAGCACAAUUUGAAAAAUAAAACCUCAUUCUACUUAUAUAACAACAUAUGAUGUACGUUCCGAACACAAUUAAAAAUUUCUGGAUAAACAGUUUACUCGUGUGUUUGAACGAGUUCCAUCUCAUGCAAUAUAUAGAAAUAUUAAGAGAAAAAUAAAGAAAAAGUUGAGAAAAUAAUUAGCCAAUUAGGUGCUAAAUUAGUCGAAUAACUUGACUAAGCAAAAGCAACGUACAUAUUAGGCUCGUUUUGUUGUGAAAGGUUGAGAAGGAUAGGAUCAAAGUUUUUCAGUCUUUGUUAUACCAAUCACAUUAAAGAGAAAAAACAAGAAAGGUCUACGUCCACGUACCAUCCAGUCGAUGAGUGAAGAAAUAUUAAAAAAAAAGUCAUUUUUUUCACUUAUAUUAUGAUAUAUGAUGUACUGCUUGAAAAAAUCUCUACUUAAUGAGCGCUUUCUCCUACAUAGAAUUUUUUUUUGUCAAAAAAUAGAUUUUGUUAGGUUAAAUGUUAAAUUAGUCAGCAACGGGGUUUGAAUCCACGUCAUCAUGUAAGAGCUCAACACUUUUCUACCACUGUGGUAAAGGGUCACUUGCCUCCUAUAGAUAAAAUUAACUAUGCAUGUAGACUAAGCGAGACGAAUAACUUACAUUGAACAAGUUAAAUAUCAUAAAAUUAAUACGUGCAAAUUUUUCUUAGCAUGAUAUAUAAUAUUAUAUCAAAAAUAUUAAAAAUAAUAAAUUUGUUCGAUGUAAACUGAUCACAAUUGUGCGGGAGAGAUGUUUUUAUUUCAGAGAGGGGAUUAGCUGGUGAUUUCGUCACAACAGUUUACCCUUUCAAAAGUCGAGAAAAUUCAUAGAGACAACAAUAGAGAUGUUGAUUAGAUGGUUGGAAUUCGGUUUAGUGGACCCCAUGUCUAUUUGGUAUAAAGUAUCAAUCAAUUUUUCAUUACAUGUCCCCUAACCUAACCCCAAGCCCAUGAAACCUCCAAAAUGAUCACAAGUGUGCGAGGAGAGAUGUUUUUCUUUCAAAAUGGGAAUUAACUAGUGAUUUCGUCAGGAUAGUUCACCUUUUCGAAAGUGGGAAAAACUUAUAAAAACAACGAGAGAUGUUGAUUAGAUGGUUGGCAUUCGGGUUUGUGGACCCCACGUCUAUUUAGUAUAAAGUAACAAUCAAUUUUUCAUUACAUGUCUCCUAACCUAACCCCAAGCCCAUGAAACCUCCAAAAUAAAGUAGGAAUUAUAAGGUCUAGUGUGGGCCUCAUCGAGUUGCAUAUUGGCAACUUAGCACGUCGCAUUCACUCAUUCAACCUUAUGUCGGGCCAGGUAGCUAGACCGAUUGAUUUCAAUUAGAUUUGAAGGAUGUUAGUUUAAAGGGUGUGAUAUCCACACAUCACAUUUUAUUUCUCACACAUCUCUUUAAUUUUCGGCCGUCGGAUCGGAUGAAUUGAAGACUAUCAAUGGACAUAAAUUAUCAAAGAUGUGUGGGCCUCAUCAAGUUGCAUAUUGGCAACUUGGCACGUUGCAUUCACUCAUUCAACCUUAUGUCGGGCCAGGUAGCUAGACCGAUUGAUUUCAAUUAGAUUUGAAGGAUGUUAGUUUAAAGGGUGUGAUAUCCACACAUCACAUUUUAUUUCUCACACAUCUCUUUAAUUUUCGGCCGUCGGAUCGGAUGAAUUGAAGAAUAUCAAUGGACAUAAAUUAUCAAAGAUGUGUGAGAAGUAAAAUGGGGUGUGUGGAUAGCACACCCCUAGUUUAAUAGCACAAUCGAGCUCGUUUGUUUCUUUGUGAUUUUCUCACGCCCCGACCCUAGCUUCAGAGAGAUUUUUUAGUGUGCUAGGAGUACAGUCCGGUACAUCAAGUAUCAUAAUACAAGUGGUUAAAUACUUGAAAAAGAACUUCCAACCGUUUGUAUUAUGACACUUAAUGAACCAGAUUUGUUCCUUACACACAAAAUUUCUCUUAGCUUCGGGGGCGUAAAGAUUUUAAGGCUCUUAUUUUAUAUAUGUAAAGCAAGUAAAUGUUGCUACUGUUUAGAGCUAUGAAAAGUGAUCAUCACUCGUCAUUUUCUCUUCAUGCACAUUAUUGAUUUCUAGCCUUUCACGUUUCAAGGGACAUGAAUAAAACCAAGUUAUGCAAUAAUCAUUUUCUUAAAGCUAUAAGUUAUUUUUGACAUGUAAGUUGGAUUGAAAAUUUCGAUUUCAACCAAUUCUGUUUUUGUCGGUUUACGAACAAAAAUAUGAAGAAAAUUGGAACGCAUCUUAAAAUUAGGCUACUUUUGCCGUCGUUAUACAAUCACUAAUUUGUGAUCCAUCAGUGGGUAUAAAGCCAACGUUAUUAUGAUAUCUCUAGACCCUAGUGGGGUUUCCAUUUUCCCAAAUCCUUUACCCUCGGGAUUUUUAAUUUUUCUUCAACCGGCAACCAAUUGGAAGUUUUUCUUGGUCUAAUAAGACCUUGUUGCGCCUUCAAAUUCAAGAAAUGCAGAAGGACUGAUCCAUUUCUUUUAUUGAAUGACCAAUUAAACAUCAAUUACAACCUACCAUGGACCGCAAUUCAAGUUUAGUUUAUCUGCAAAAUCGAGUUCAUGGGAUGUGACCAAUUUGCUCAAUUACUAUAGCAAUGUGUUUUUGAGCUGGCCAUGAGCCAGCAUAGGCGUUCUGUGGUACGCUGAGUUGUUAGAACUUGGUAAUACUGCUGUGCUGUAUUUAGGCUUGAUUCUUACAUACUUGAUCAACGUACAAAAUUUCGCAGUCACGAAGAUUCUUGCAUACUUCUUAUACACGAACAACUCUGUAUCGGCCUAGUUAUUCGUUACAAAGUCAAUGAAAGAAUGAUUCAUAGUGUGCUUGUAACAAAUACACAUUUACCGUUUGUGUAAUUCCUCAAGUUUUAUUCUUUCUAAAGAACAUUGGACAUUUUCCUUCAGUUUUAAAGUAUGAAAACCAGUUCCUUCUUCCUAUUUAAUUCCCUGACCAAAAGUAAGUAUUUUCUGUGAUAAAUUAGUGUUUUACCUGUUUGGUCUCAUUUCUGUGGCAGCUUUUCCUUUUAGUCACAGUAUAGAUGCAUAAUGAAUAUCUGUUAAUUUGCAACUAAUCUUUGAAACAUUAUUUUCUGAAAACACAGAAUUCUAAAAGCCCAAGAUUUGAAAGGAACACUCCCACUAGAGCUGGUAGAUCUCACCUAUCUUCAAGAAAUGUAAGCACAUUUUUACCCCUCCAAGUUUACAUUAUUUAAAAGAAAAUAACUUUGUAUCGUGUAAAUCGUUUAUUCUAAUUUCAUAUAUAGCUUACCUUUAUGUCUGUUGCCAAUGAGACAAUAACUGGUUUCUUUCUUUCUCCUUCAGCGACCUGACCCGCAACUACCUGAGCGGUACCAUCCCUCCAGAAUGGAGCUCUCUUCCACUUUUGAACAUGUACUGUCUUCUCUCAAACUGCAUGCACUUCUGUGUUUGAUGUUCGUGUCAUGUUCUUAUUGCUUCAUUUGGUCACUCCAAUGUUCUUCAGCCAUUUCUUUCUUAAACUAUAAAUCUACUACAUUUGGUUUUGUUCAUGAUGAUGGGCUUCCGUGGUCAUGAGGCGUUUGAAUCAUAAAUAUUGAAUCGAACACAUGGGGUUCAUUGCCUUCGUAUUGACGAACAUGUUAAUGUUAUUGAGCCUCUUGCUUGAUAAAAGUGAUAUUAAGACUAGUUUUUGAUACAGAUCCCUUCUUGGAAAUCGUUUGACCGGUUCUAUCCCCAAAGAGCUCGGAAACAUCACCACCCUGAAGAGUUUGUGAGUGUUGAUUGCGCAUUUGUUUCUUGCUUACCCCAUUUGAUUCCAUGGAGAUCCUUAAUGAUGUUUUUUUAAUCAAUGGAAUUGAAUUUGUUUGUAUAGGGACAUCAGUUUCAAUAAUUUCUCUGGACCUCUCCCUCAGGAGCUUGGAUCUUGGGCCCACAUAGAAAGAUUGUAAGAGUCCUUUUCGAAUUUUACCGUGUUAAAAAGUAUUUGGUUUAUUUGGAGUUUUCUUUCUUGUAGACAAAUUCUGGAUGUUUUCACUAGUAAAUCAUCUACUUCUUUAUCAUUGAUAUAAUGGUUAUAUCUAUUUCGUACUUAGGCUGCUUUGCUCAAACAACUUUACUGGGGAGUUGCCAGAAACAUUUGCAAAGCUUACCAAAAUAAAGGACUUGUAAGUUUCUGUGGUUCUUUCUUCUUAAAGGUUUCCCGAGCACUUAUACAUUUUUUUUACUGCUUUCUGAUACUAAUUCGUAUUUUCCCUUUUCUCCAAUCAUUAUGCAGUCGGGUUAGUGACAGUCACUUUUUCGGGCAGAUACCUGAUUUUAUUAAGAACUGGGCAAAUCUUGAAAAACUGUGAGUGUUUUUCUUUUGUGUGUCAUCUUUCUGCUAUUUGAUUCUGAAUAUUAUCUCUAAUUCAUAUGUUAUGACUCGUUGAAACAGAGUGAUUCAGGCUAGCGGUUUGACAGGGCCAAUUCCUCCUGGCAUUUCUCGUUUGACAAACUUAACUGACUUGUUAGUAUAUCCCGUCUCUAUUUUUAAAUACAAAACGAUUAGCGAUAUGUGUAGUUUAUGUUCAUGGCUCAAUUUUAACAUGCAGGAGAAUCACUGACUUGAGUGGACCUGAAUCACCCAUUCCUUCGCUCGAGAAGAUGAAAAACAUGAAGACACUGUGAGUUAAUGGUUCCAUGACACACAAUUUCUGUCUGUACCAGAAGUCUUCUGUAAACUCAUAGCUUUGGAGUCUGUUGCAGGAUGUUGAGGAGUUGCAACCUUACUGGAAAGAUACCUCUAUAUCUUGCACAAAUGAAAAACUUGAAAACUUUGUAAGUACAAAUGUCUUGGUCCCUAUUUUUUCCGUCUUCAAAUAAAAAAUUUCUUCUAGAUGUGAUUCUACUAAUUCAAGAAUUAUUGAAGUGACUUAGACAAUGUUGGGCGGACUUUAUGUUUCUGUAUUUAUUAAGAGAACAUCUCUUUCAGAUGUCAUUUCCCUCUCUGUAGAGAGCACAACUAAACUGCGUUUGCUAUUUGUUUGUGCAGAGACCUCAGCUUUAACAAGCUGACCGGAGAAAUUCCAAGCAGCUUCGAUAGUCUACCAAAUGUGGCUUAUAUGUAAGCAAUUGGAAUGACCAAUCCAGUCUUUCUUACAUGAAAUUCAAGCAGACAUUCUUCAAUGGUUUUGUUACACCCCAGCCUGACAAGCUGGAAGUAUUUCAAAUCACGAUUACUAUAAUUAUGAGUCACGGAUUAUACUGCAAUGAAAAUGAAAACGGCUCCUCUGCUCAGAAAUGAAAUGUUUAGUUUAUUCAUUAGAGUCAUUACUGCUUAUGCAAUUAAUUAACAUAAGGUGAUCACCUUUAGAUGUGUCUUUCAGAUGGAAGUACCGAUCUAAUCCACUUAGAGUUGGCAAACUCAAGUUUUCAAACCUUUACAGAGAAAUUCCUAAGAACAAACACUAUAUUCUUUACUGAGUUUUUUUCUGUAUUCAUUAUUUUUAGAUUCUUAACUGGAAACUUGCUGACUGGACCUGUACCUGCUUGGCCAAGAGUCAACGUGUAAGCUUCUCUUCCAAAUGCUACUCUUUAGCUACUAAGGAAAUUUAUGCUGUUUUUUUUACUAAGAUAGAUAUAAAACUAUUAAGCUCAUAACUUAUUUCACUAAUUCUAAUCAGCUAGAGACCUACAAUUCAACAGAAUUUGCAUCAUAGCUCUUUUUGUGCAGUGAUCUUUCGUAUAACAACCUCGCCAUAGAGGAUGCAAGUUGUCAACCACGAGGUGGCACGUAAGAAUGUCUUCAUUAGCUUGAAGUUAAUCUGUUUGUGUUAUGUGGAGAUAAGCUUAACUUUUCAUUUGUGUUAAUUUCUGCAGUAACUUGUUUGCAAGCUCGUCAAAAGGAAAUAGUUCGUAAGUUCAAAUUAAUCAUCUCAAAGCAUGCACCUAUAAAUUUACUUCGGUAUCCAAUGGUGUAUUCUUUACUAUUUUUUUUUCCAAUUUCGUCUCAUUUAUGAUUGCUGACAUUUUUUGUACCCUGAAUUACUAUAUCCGGAGAAUUAUUUCAUGUUUCAAAACUUCAGAGUGUCCAAAAUGUAAGCCGAGUUUCUACACAAAUAAUUACCUUUAUUUUUUCGAUUCAUUCUUUUUUAGUUUUCCUCCUCAAUGCCUACUAAUCUCCAAUUUAUUUUUUCAUAGAUUUGUACUACUCUCUCCAUAUAAAUUGUGGUGGGAAACAAUUUACGGUCCCUGGAGGAAAAGAUACAGUAUAUGGUGAUGACACAUUUUCUGCUGGACCUUCAUCAUUUUACAAGAGCACAACAAAUUGGGCAUUAAGCAGCACCGGUUACUUCCCUGAUGAUGACCGCCCUUAUGACACCUUUACAUGGACUAAUGAAACUAGACUCUCUAUGGCCAAUCCUCAACUGUACAUGAACGCACGCCUUUCUCCCAUAUCUCUAACUUAUUUUGGGUUUUGUCUGGGAAAUGGAAACUACACCGUAAAC
rnacentral:lncRNA from 1 species